CUGUGAGCGAGUUGGAACAAGCACCAGGCAAAAACAAAAAUUCACGCACACAGUAGGGUCGAAAAGUUUUGCUUGUGUAGCUGAGGCCGAGGAACUCCCGUCUGGUCAAAAAGUUGCACGCCUUCAGCUUUUUGACAUUACACAUAGGAAGAAAGAUGGAUCUCCAAUGACUUCUAAAUCUGGAGAAAUUAUGGAGAAACUAAAGGAUAAAAAGGUGGAUGUAUGAAGCGAUUGCUUCGAGUGAUAGUUCUGUUAAUCUUGAGGACAUUGAUAACAGAAUUAUUAUUGAAGUUUUGGGUCUUAAAAGGUAUGGUCGGGUUAGAUAUUUAAAUUGCUCAACUUAAAGCGAAGGUAGCAUUGAGAGAAGCAGAGGUUCAAAGAAAAUAUGAAGAACUCCAGCUACAACUUAAAGAGGAGGCAGUAGCGAGGGAAGCAGAGCAAAAUAGAAAAUAAAACGAACUCCAGCUAUAGCUUCAGAAUAUGAAGAAGAUGUUUCAGCAGUCAAGAAUCCACCAUCUUAGACAUUUAUUUUCUAAUUGUAAGAAUGUUUUAACAAUAUAACUUUUAACAUUAUUGUAAGAAUAUUUUGUUAUUUCAUAUAUUAAUUUAAAUAAUCUAUCUUUCGUUGGA